CAUGAAAAAACCAAAAAGUGGAAGCUGCUUAUUAUCCAAAACACAGAGCUACAGUACCAAGCUAAUGAAUUUUUUCAAUUUGCCAAUACCGCCCCCUCCUUUCUCCUCUCUCCUUUCUCCUGAUUCCUACACUCUGCACUCUCUCUUUCUCUCUCGCAAAACACGCCGCUGCACCUCUUCCUCCUCCUCCUUUUCCUUUCUCUUCGUCGGUCUCAGCGCCACACCGCCGUCGCCUUCCAGGGUUUUGUGUGGCAACCAACGACCGAGCUUGAUCUCAUUGAUUAGGUAGACGAAGAGACGAGUCGGAGCUGUCAGUGGAUUCUCUUCGCUGCCGUCGCGCUCCUUUUUUCUGGUUGUAUGCUGAAAGUGAUUGUCAUUUUGAUGAUCCCAAGGACUUUUAUGAAAAGAUCGAUAGUAGUGAUGAUAAUGAUGAUGAAGAAAACUAAAAUUAUCAAGUUGAAGGAUCACAUGAGACAGAGGCAUUAAGAAAUAGAAUAGCAGCAAGUUUGAUGAAUGUAUCUAAUUAGACUACCUUCAAGUACAUUAACAAUAUUGUAUUAAUGAAUUCUAGCUAUUCAGUCUAAAA